AUGUGGUUUAAUUCGAUGCAACGCGAAAAACCUUACCCACCUUUGACAUGUACGGAAUUUGCCAGAGAUGGCUUAGUGCUCGAAAGAGAGCCGUAACACAGAUGCUGCAUGGCUGUCGUCAGCUCGUGUCGUGAGAUGUUGGGUUAAGUCCCGCAACGAGCGCAACCCUUGUCAUUAGUUGCUACGAAAGGGCACUCUAAUGAGACUGCCGGUGACAAACCGGAGGAAGGUGGGGAUGACGUCAAGUCCUCAUGGCCCUUAUAGGUGGGGCUACACACGUCAUACAAUGGCCGGUACAAAGGGUCGCAAACCCGCGAGGGGGAGCUAAUCCAUCAAAGCCGGUCGUAGUCCGGAUCGCAGUCUGCAACUCGACUGCGUGAAGUCGGAAUCGCUAGUAAUCGUGGAUCAGCAUGUCACGGUGAAUACGUUCCCGGGUCUUGUACACACCGCCCGUCACACCAUGGGAGCGGGUCUCGCCAGAAGUAGUUAGCCUAACCGCAAGGAGGGCGAUUACCACGGCGGGGUUCGUGACUGGGGUGAAGUCGUAACAAGGUAGCCGUA
rnacentral:rRNA from 1 species